GACGAACGCUGGCGGCGUGCUUAACACAUGCAAGUCGAACGGAAAGGCCCUGCUUUUGUGGGGUGCUCGAGUGGCGAACGGGUGAGUAACACGUGAGUAACCUGCCCUUGACUUUGGGAUAACUUCAGGAAACUGGGGCUACUACCGGAUAGGAGCUCCUGCUGCAUGGUGGGGGUUGGAAAGUUUCGGCGGUUGGGGAUGGACUGGCGGCUUAUCAGCUUGUUGGUGGGGUAGUGGCUUACCAAGGCUUUGACGGGUAGCCGGCCUGAGAGGGUGACCGGCCACAUUGGGACUGAGAGACGGCGCAGACUCCUACGGGAGGCAGCAGGGGGGAAUAUGGCACAAUGGGCGGAAGCCUGAUGCAGCAACGCCGCGGGCGGGAUGACGGCCUGCGGGUUGUAAACCGCUUUCGCCUGUGACGAAGCGUGAGUGACGGUAAUGGGUAAAGAAGCACCGGCUAACUACGUG
rnacentral:rRNA from 1 species